rnacentral:rRNA from 1 species
UGAGUAACCUGCCUUCAGCUUUGGGAUAACCCUCGGAAACGGGGCUAAUACCGGGUAUUCAGCUUCUGCGGCAUCGUGGGGGUUGGAAAGUUUUUCGGCUGGGGAUGGGCUCGCGGCCUAUCAGCCUGUUGGUGGGGUAAUGGCCUACCAAGGCGGCGACGGGUAGCCGGCCUGAGAGGGCGACCGGCCACACUGGGACUGAGACACGGCCCAGACUCCUACGGGAGGCA